rnacentral:rRNA from 1 species
AUUGAACGCUGGCGGCAGGCCUAACACAUGCAAGUCGAGCGGAUGAACGGAGCUUGCUUCUGGUUCUAGCGUCGGACGGGUGUGUAAUGCCCAGGAGUCUCCCUCCCAUUGCGGGAUAACGUCUGGACACGGGCGCUACUACCGCAUACGUCCUGAUGCAGAAAGUGGGGGAUCUUCGGACCUCACGCUCUCAGAUGAGCCUAGGUCGGAUUAGCUAGCUGGUGGGGUAAAGGCCUACCUAGGCGACGAUCCGUAAAUGGUCUGAGAGGAUGGUCAGUCACACGAGAAGUGAGACGCGGUCCAGACUACUACGAGAGGCAGCAGUGGGUAAUAUUGGGCAGUGGGCGAAAGCCUGAUACAGCCAGGCCGCGUGUGUGAAGAAGGUCUUCGGAUUGGGAAGCACUUUAAGUGGGGAGGAAGGGCAGUAAGUUAAUACCUAGCUGUUUUGACGGUAACAAGAGAAUAAGCACCGGCUAACUUCGUG